rnacentral:misc_RNA from 1 species
AAGAAAAAUGUAUCGAAGCAGUGCGCGUGCAUGGUGCUGCUGCUUCGGCGCGCCCCGCACCGCCGCGCGACGCACCUUUGUGAGUGUGCGAGAGGACGUCACGGAAGCGGAACGGCGCCACCUCAACCAGGAGCUGCCGCCUCGCGAACUGCUGAGAGAGAUGCGCACUACCGACACUGCCCCUGGCGAGGGGGACGAGGACAAGAUAAAGGUCCCCGGCGACUCCUUCGGCAUCAUGCAUAACCGAGUCGUGUUCUACAAGCCCCUGCAACGACAACCAUUGUCGGGCCGAAUUGGGGAGCUGAUGCCGCUGGGGACCCACCCACUCCUGUGCUUCAACCCGGACACGGUGCGCCGUAUGUGUAGCCGCUAUGGAGUCCCUGUCGACGACGUGGUCGCGGCGCUGCGUGACGCGAGCGGCGACGUCAACCUUGCCACCGAGCUGCUUGAGCAGCGACUGGACAUCGAGGUAGGCUUUGGCAGCUACGGUCUCGUCUGCUUGGAGUCGUACGCGCCGGAGACGUUCUGCUUGGUAUCGUACAACCUGCCCACGUUUGCCUCCACGCAAGCCGAUGAGGUGCUGGAUGCGAUUCAUGAGCUGACGCUGUCGGCGGCAGAGCUCCCGCUCGACACCCCGCGCGACAGGCUUGUGGACAAGUUUAUCAACCACUGGACGACAGAAGACGACGUUCCAUGCGCGGAUAUGCUUCGAUCGUACAACAUCACGGUACAGAACAUCCUGCUGUUGCCGUUCGGCGACUACGGCGUUCAGGGCUUUCACGUGCUACUGCCAGUAAAGAAGGAGACGCCGAACAUAGGCGUGGCGGCUGCGGCGUGCUGCAUGGACUUGCGCACUGGCAUUCACAAUCGAUUCCGGUUCCAUGUUGAGCGCAUCGCCGACUCCGUCAGCGAGCACGUGGUGCAGGAAAUGCUGCACUACAACCAGGGUGUUCACCUGCUACGCCAGCCGUACUGGUUCCGACCAGAAUAUAGCGUCGAGGAGUUCAUCCGCUUCAAGGAGUCGCUGCUGCAGCCGAGUGCGUCGACGUUUGAGAUGCGCUAUGCGUUUCUGUUUGCACCACAGUAUGCGCUUCCCCACUACCGCAACAUCGUCGAAAUGGAGAAGCUGAAGAUUGCGCAGCACAAGUACGAAAAGCACUACGAGGACUUCACCGCACCGGGGAAGUGGCUGACAAGCGACAACGCCCAGCUGCAGACCGUGGCUGCCGGCGGGGGCGGGUCGAACGUGCCGGGGGGCGCUAUGCACAACCACACAAACGACCCUGCGUCCAUUCGAACAGCAAUGGAGACCCGCACCGGUCCACUGCGACGGACGCUUGCACAGUCGAUGCAAGCGCACGGGGACCGCGUCUUCAGCCGCUUUUAUCGAAACAACAUUCACUGACGGACGCCGCCGCUGGGGUGUUUUGCUUUCGCUUGUGCCCUAUCUUUAUCACCGCUUUCUUGCCUUUUACCUCUCUGCUCAUCAAGCACUGCAACGUUGCCAUCAACGGUAACGAGGCACACAUGGCGGCUGGAGCUGCGUGUGAUUGUGCGCGCGUGCUUGAACGAGUUCGCUACCCUCCACCUUUGGCAAUGCAGGGGGGGGGCUUGGCCACAAAACG